CCUACGGGAGCAGCAGUGAGGAAUAUUGGACAAUGGGCGCAAGCCUGAUCCAGCCAUGCCGCGUGCAGGAAGAAGCAUCUAUGGUGUGUAAACUGCUUUUGUACAGGAAGAAACACUCCCUCGUGAGGGAGCUUGACGGUACUGUAAGAAUAAGGACCGGCUAACUCCGUGCCAGCAGCCGCGGUAAUACGGAGGGUCCGAGCGUUAUCCGGAAUCAUUGGGUUUAAAGGGUCCGUAGGCGGUUUAAUAAGUCAGUGGUGAAAUCUGGUCGCUCAACGAUCAAACGGCCAUUGAUACUGUUAGACUUGAAUUAUAAGGAAGUAACUAGAAUAUGUAGUGUAGCGGUGAAAUGCUUAGAUAUUACAUGGAAUACCAAUUGCGAAGGCAGGUUACUACUUAUGGAUUGACGCUGAUGGACGAAAGCGUGGGGAGCGAACAGGAUUAGAUACCCUGGUAGUCCACGCCGUAAACGAUGGAUACUAGCUGUUCGGAGCAAUCUGAGUGGCUAAGCGAAAAGUGAUAAGUAUCCCACCUGGGGAGUACGUUCGCAAGAAUGAAACUCAAAAUGAAAUUGACGG
rnacentral:rRNA from 1 species